rnacentral:rRNA from 1 species
UUGAACGCUGGCGGCAGGCCUAACACAUGCAAGUCGAACGGUAACAGGAAACAGCUUGCUGUUUCGCUGACGAGUGGCGGACGGGUGAGUAAUGUCUGGGAAACUGCCUGAUGGAGGGGGAUAACUACUGGAAACGGUAGCUAAUACCGCAUAACGUCGCAAGACCAAAGAGGGGGACCUUCGGGCCUCUUGCCAUCGGAUGUGCCCAGAUGGGAUUAGCUAGUAGGUGGGGUAACGGCUCACCUAGGCGACGAUCCCUAGCUGGUCUGAGAGGAUGACCAGCCACACUGGAACUGAGACACGGUCCAGACUCCUACGGGAGGCAGCAGUGGGGAAUAUUGCACAAUGGGCGCAAGCCUGAUGCAGCCAUGCCGCGUGUAUGAAGAAAGCCUUCGGGUUGUAAAGUACUUUCAGCGGGGAGGAAGGGAGUAAAGUUAAUACCUUUGCUCAUUGACGUUACCCGCAGAAGAAGCACCGGCUAACUCCGUG